rnacentral:rRNA from 1 species
GACGAACGCUGGCGGCGUGCUUAACACAUGCAAGUCGAACGGAAAGGCCCUGCUUUUGUGGGGUGCUCGAGUGGCGAACGGGUGAGUAACACGUGAGUAACCUGCCCUUGACUUUGGGAUAACUUCAGGAAACUGGGGCUAAUACCGGAUAGGAGCUCCUGCUGCAUGGUGGGGGUUGGACAGUUUCGGCGGUUGGGGAUGGACUCGCGGCUUAUCAGCUUGUUGGUGGGGUAGUGGCUUACCAAGGCUUUGACGGGUAGCCGGCCUGAGAGGGUGACCGGCCACAUUGGGACUGAGAUACGGCCCAGACUCCUACGGGAGACAGCAGUGGGGAAUAUUGCACAAUGGGCGGAAGCCUGAUGCAGCAACGCCGCGUGCGGGAUGACGGCCUUCGGGUUGUAAACCGCUUUCGCCUGUGACGAAGCGUGAGUGACGGUAAUGGGUAAAGAAGCACCGGCUAACUACGUG